UGGGCAGAGGGGAGAGCCGAGCCCCGGGAGGCUGAGCUGCGGGUCAGGGCUCUGGAGGGGACAAGAAAUCGGCACAGGCUUUCAUGAGGACAGAUGAACGUAAAAGGAAUUCUUUCGCUUGGACACAUAGAGAAGAGCAGAAACAGAUCAGUUCCAGCCACAAGUGAUGUUUUCUGUUCCCAGGCUUCAUUUCAGAGUUCUUUCACACCCGCUUUUGGUGAGUGAUUUCAUCCAAGCGGCAAGUUCACAGCCAGUUUCAGCAAUAUGUUAAGAUGGGCAAGUGGGAAGUUUAGAUUUAAAAUUUAGCUAGAGUACCAUUUGAGAUGUCAAACCAAAUGUUUGUCUGAAGCGAGAAGUAUCUCAGAAAGUCAAACCGGGAUACUUCUCAUGGGCAAAAUAGAAGAGAGAGUGAACAUGAAAAGAAGCAAAGAUAGCGAAUAAUAAAAGUAAAAGCAAAAGCAAUCAGACAUCCCAAAUCCUAAAAAAUUCCCCAGGUUCCCAGUAUUUGGCUCACUGAACUUUCUUUGAUCCUGUUGCUUUUUAGAUGGGAUGUGGUCUCCUUGGGCUCAUCCUGCGUUUCCUAGGGGGGCGUGUUCUGACCGGCAGCCUGAGCUCUGUGCUGGGUUUGCCUCGGGGAUAGGGUCCCCCCCCGGCUGCCCCGGUCCCUUUGCAGACCCCCCAGAACAGCCCCAUCCUGGUGCCUCACGUGCUGCGACCUCACGUGCAAAACGCAGCUAAUGAGCAUCGUGACUAACUCAGUUAAAUCCCUUCUGUCCUUUCGUCUCCCAGAUAUGUGCUGUGCCGUUACUAAAAUUCUCAUCUGGGUUGCUGAGCUCUCUCUGCAGCAAACGCGAAGGCAGCUCCUCUUUCUUUCAGCACCAGGAGGUGCCUGUGCUGCUUCAGCGUUUUCCUUCUGCGUGGCGCUCCUUGUCCUGCCUCUCGCUUCUUUGCUGCCACAGACAGAGGGGAGAAGCUCAUUCACCAGUUCCCCAUAAUGAAGACUGCCUUCCUCGGAGAAAUAAAUUAUUUUUUAAAAGAAAA